rnacentral:rRNA from 1 species
CACGAAGUUAGCCGGAGCUUUUUCUCCAGGUACCGUCAUUAUCGUCCCUGGUAAAAGAAUUUUACAAUCCUAAGACCUUCAUCAUUCACGCGGCAUGGCUGCGUCAGGCUUUCGCCCAUUGCGCAAGAUUCCCCACUGCUGCCUCCCGUAGGAGUCUGGGCCGUGUCUCAGUCCCAGUGUGGCUGAUCAUCCUCUCAGACCAGCUAUGGAUCGCGGGCUUGGUGAGCCUUUACCUCACCAACUACCUAAUCCAACGCGGGCCGCUCUAAUGGCGAUAAAUCUUUCCCCCUAAGGGCUCAUUCGGUAUUAGCACAAGUUUCCCUGUGUUGUUCCGAACCAAAAGGUACGUUCCCACGUGUUACUCACCCGUCCGCCACUAAGCCCGAAGGCUUCGUUCGACUUGCAUGUGUUAAGCCUGCCGCCAGCGUCGUCUCUGAGCCAGAGUCAAACUAC